CGGCUCCUGACGAGCUGCUGGGCACUGUGGAGGAGGUGGUGCAUCCCUCUUCAGAGGAGGUGGUGCAUCCCUCUUCAGAGGAGGUGGUGCCCUGUACCCGGGAGGAGGUGGUGCCCUGUACCCGGGAGGAGGUGGUGAAUCCUUCUUCAGAGGAGGUGGUGCCCUGUACCCGGGAGGAGGUGGUGAAUCCCUCUUCAGAGGAGGUGGUGAAUCCCUCUUCAGAGGAGGUGGUGCCCUGUACCCGGGAGGAGGUGGUGAAUCCCUCUUCAGAGGAGGGGCAGCAGAGGUCUACACAGGCGCUGAGCUGUCCUACAGAGAAGGAGGUGCAGCUGCCUCUUACAGACGCGGUGCUGAUGCCCUCGACCAAGGAGGAGGUGCAGGUCACUCCAUUAGCAGAGGAGGUGCCUUUGCCCUCUUCAGAUGGCGAGGAGGAGCUCCUUCCCUCCAGACUGGAGGGGCCUCCCCUAGCGGAGGAGGUGGUGGUGUCUCCGGAUGAGACGGUGAUGGAACAGGGACCUUUUCCGCGUGUGGGAGAACCUCGAGCAACAGCGGUGGCAGCCAGCAGGGAGCUGGCAGGAGACGAACGUCCAACAGAAGGACGUCCUCUGCAGGGGGCGGGAGCUAGAGGUCCGACCAUGCUCCACCGUGCUAUUCUGAACUUCUUCUGGUGGACAGGACUCUCCUCUGGACCGGGAACUGAGGACGAAGAGCAGGGAACCCCUGAGAUUCAACCAAUCGCAGCCCCACGGCGGGACGCGGAGGAGCUGAUGGAGAGGCUGCCGCUGGGCUCAGCGGGACAGAGUCUGGAAGCUCAGUUGUCAUCGGUGACCCACCUGUCGCUGGUGAUCCACGACAGCUCGGAGAACCUCACCAACGAGGAGUGACCAAGAGAGGGCGGGGCCAAGGAGCCAUGUGACCCAGGACCACUGAGGAGUGACCAAGAGAGGGCGGGGCCAAGGAGCCAUGUGACCCAGGACCACUGGGGGCCUUUUACUACCGUGUGUGUGUGUGCAUUUUUUCUGACGUUUGUUUUGAAGUUCCAAAAUGUGCCGUUGGGCCAGUGUUUACUUUAUAAUAUACUUUUGUUAAAGCUUUAUUUAACAGGUUGUCUUUGCAUGCAUUGUGGUCAGUCGCCCACCGUUCUGAAUACUGUGAAUGUCUUGCUCCCAUGCUGGUUUCUGUUGCAUACCCUCCCUUUGAAGACCCUUCCUCUCGGAAAUAUGUUCUGGUCCUGGUCCAAUCUCGAAGGCCAUGUUGUUCUUGUAAAAAUAACUUUGUUAUUGUUAAAAAAAGAUUGUAUUUUCCCACGUUUAUUUUCAAGAACAUUAAUUGUUAGUUGAUUCCGGUUUGUCAAAAGACAAGAAAAAUGUAACUUUAAGUUGGCGCAAUAAAU
ensembl:lncRNA